AAAUGACAUGGUUGCAGCAGUAAACAGACUAAAAAAGGCGCGAGAAACGCCUAAUUUACCUGCAAUUUGAGGUAGCCAGUGAGAAGCAUAGUCAUAGACAAUCCAAUCUGGUUUGGGAUUUGAUGAACUCUCAAGAUAAUUGGUCAGUGGGAUUUCGAGCGAAUCGAAAGCUAUCUUCAAGAACUGAGCUUUUUGGUAAGGAAUAUCCAUCGAUGACUCUGCAUCAUCCGGCAAGUUUUCAACUUUAGGCAAUUGAAACCACACAAUAUGCAACAGAUGAGCAAGAUCAGAGGGAACUUUAUUGACGACUCUUUCAAUGUUUCUUGGAGUUGAAAUGAAGGUGACUCUAUGGCCCCUUCGUGCUAAACACUUUGAUAGAUGAAAAAAAGGUAUGAUAUGUCCCAUGGCUAGCCAUGGAAA
rnacentral:misc_RNA from 1 species